rnacentral:rRNA from 1 species
UACGAAGGGGGCUAGCGUUGUUCGGAAUCACUGGGCGUAAAGCGCACGUAGGCGGAUCUUUAAGUCAGAGGUGAAAUCCCAAGGCUCAACCUUGGAACUGCCUUUGAUACUGGGGAUCUUGAGUCCGGGAGAGGUGAGUGGAACUGCGAGUGUAGAGGUGAAAUUCGUAGAUAUUGGGAAGAACACCGGUGGCGAAGGCGGCUCACUGGCUCGUUACUGACGCUCAGGCACGACAGCGUGGGGAUCAAACAGG